UGGAGAGCCGCUGGUGGUGACGGGCUGCCUGUGUCCUCUGCGGCAAAACUCACAAAUACUCCACUCACCAAGUUCCAGAGGGAGAGGAUCACCAGACACCACCGGCCGUACUAAAGGAAGUUGCUUUAUGUAGGGAUGGAACAUGGCAUCUGCACCAGCUGGGACACACUUAGCCAACUAUUGUGUUAAGAAUAUGAAGAAAGACAGACCAAGACAA